UGGUGCCCAACGUGGGGCUCCUAGCACAAAGGGCUCAAUGAGGGAGCCGUCCUGAGACACACACGUAAAAGUGAAACUAAAAAUUUUGUGACCAGCGCUACGCAGGAGCCUGCCACGCUGCUAGAGUCAUGGUAAGUGGACUGCGAUCCUUUCCCUUUUUUUCCGGCAUGGGUCAGGCAUUAAGUGACCAUAAAUGCUUUGUGUCAAGUUUAAGUAAAGUUUUAAAGACAAGAGGGAUAAAGGCUAAAAAAAUAUUUAUUGCAGUAUUUUCAAUUUAUUCAUAACGUUUGCCCUU
rfam:Cavia porcellus supercont2_37 genomic scaffold, whole genome shotgun sequence.